ACACUUGGAAACAGGUGCUAAUACCGUGUAACAACGGAAACCGCAUGGUUUCAGUUUGAAAGAUGGUUUCGGCUAUCACUUCUGGAUGGACCCGCGGCGUAUUAGCUAGUUGGUGGAGUAAUGGUUCACCAAGGCAAUGAUACGUAGCCGACCUGAGAGGGUAAUCGGCCACAUUGGGACUGAGACACGGCCCAAACUCCUACGGGAGGCAGCAGUAGGGAAUCUUCCACAAUGGACGAAAGUCUGAUGGAGCAACGCCGCGUGAGUGAAGAAGGGUUUCGGCUCGUAAAACUCUGUUGUUGAAGAAGAACACAUCUGAGAGUAACUGUUCAGGUGUUGACGGUAUUUAACCAGAAAGCCACGGCUAACUACGUGCCAGCAGCCGCGGUAAUACGUAGGUGGCAAGCGUUGUCCGGAUUUAUUGGGCGUAAAGCGAGCGCAGGCGGUUUCUUAAGUCUGAUGUGAAAGCCUUCGGCUUAACCGGAGAAGUGCAUCGGAAACUGGGAGACUUGAGUGCAGAAGAGGACAGUGGAACUCCAUGUGUAGCGGUGAAAUGCGUAGAUAUAUGGAAGAACACCAGUGGCGAAGGCGGCUGUCUGGUCUGUAACUGACGCUGAGGCUCGAAAGCAUGGGUAGCGAACAGGAUUAGAUACCCUGGUAGUCC
rnacentral:rRNA from 1 species